rnacentral:lncRNA from 1 species
CGCGCGUGUGACAUUCCCGGCGCAGACUCGAGUGUACGGUUGCGAUCGAACGGGUGGGCCUGGGCCGGCCGGGCCUGGGGCCUUCUGUGUCUGCGCGAUCGCCUCCUGGCAAAGAAGGCCACAUAGUGAGGAGAGGACGGUCCUCAGAAAGAGAGAGACUCGCGCCUGACGGUCAACUGGGCGAGCGGACACCGGGCACAGAAAGGGGCCGUGGGGAAGUCCCAGUAGAUGAAUAGAGUUGGAGAUGGUGCAUUCCAACUCCUGUGUUGCCAGUGUGAACCUUGGAGCACUGGAGACGCGAACUUGUCUG